AUACGUAGGGGGCGAGCGUUGUCCGGAUUUAUUGGGCGUAAAGGGUUCGUAGGCGGUUAUUUAAGUCAGAUGUGAAAGGCACAGGCUUAACCUGUGUAAGCAUUUGAAACUGGAUAACUUGAGUUAAGGAGAGGAAAGUGGAAUUCCUAGUGUAGCGGUGAAAUGCGUAGAUAUUAGGAGGAAUACCAGUGGCGAAGGCGACUUUCUGGACUUAUACUGACGCUGAGGAACGAAAGCGUGGGGAGCAAACAGGAUUAGAUACCCUGGUAGUCCACGCCGUAAACGAUGAGUGCUAGGUGUUGGGGGUCAAACCUCGGUGCCGCAGCUAACGCAUUAAGCACUCCGCCUGGGGAGUACGUACGCAAGUAUGAA
rnacentral:rRNA from 1 species